rnacentral:lncRNA from 1 species
CGGUAGCAGCUGCAGGUGUGAAGAGGAACCAGGAGUUAUUGUCCUCACUACCAGAGGCCAUCUUAAUGAGGUUGCGUUCUGUGGGGCAGGCUGGAUUUUCAAUGAGUGUCUGAGAGCCCCCACCUCCAGCUUCUCCUCCUACUCCUGCAGUCGGACGUGGCAGGAGACUUCUCAGCAUGACCUCAGCCUCAGCCUCAGCCUCAGCGGCAGGGUACUCAGAGGGCCUGGGGGAGGGGAGGCAGGAGGCAGAGCUCUGACACUCCGCAGUAGUACCACCCUUCCCUGUGCUCCCACCCAUCGUGCAGGGGAGGCCUUGCUUUCUGGUCACCAGGGAAGUGAGGAGGCAUCGGCCCAGGACAGUAGAGAGCUGGGGCAGGAAGGAGCCUGGGAGAAGCAGAAGUCAAUAAGCAGCAGAUCAGGAGCCAUGUGGAGCAGCCUCCGUCUGCCCAGCAGCCAAGAUGUGGCCUCAGUGACCGCCCAGGGCCUCUCUCCAUUCCAGUGGCUGCUGUGCUCCUGCCCAGGGCCCACGGGUGCAGCAGCUGUGUGUCAUCUCUGCCCUUCCUCCUCCUCCCUCCCUGUCUCCCUCCUCCCUGCCUCCACCAUCUCUAAGCACCUACCUUCAUCUCCAAGGAAGAAAGCUCAUAGAAUGACUAUUUCCAGGGGCAUUUGAAUUUUAGGAGUGCUUCUCAAGCCCCAAAGGCAAAGGGAAUGAAAUCAUAUUUGUGGAAUCUGACAGGCUGUUUUGGAGGGGACUAGAAGACAGGAGGGCCUCCUAGGCUCCAUUCUGAAUAGACACGCCUAGAUCAUCCCUCCCUCCCUCCUUCCUCGUUUCUCUUCCAGGGGUUUCCCUGGGCUAGGCCCUGGGCUUGACACUGGGAUGCAAAGGGACUGAGUCCUGGCCUGAAGGAAG